GCCCGCUCUGGCAUAGUGGUUUGAGUGUUGGGCUAUGACUCCGGAGACCGGGGUUCAAAUUCCCGAGUCUCACUGGGUG